AAAGAUAUGUGGCCGGGGAAGACAUUGUAAAUGGUGUGUGUACUCUUGUUUUUCUCCCACAAAAGAGGAAAAACCAAGGGGAUGGUGAGGGACUAAAGGCUGCAGAUAGCCAUGGGCAGCUUAAUGAGGAAUGGAAAGACGGAAUAAUACCCUGGUUCUUGGGAUUUAAUCAGACUCACCAACCCUUGAUCUACAUAAACUCUGCCAUUUACUCUUCAGCACCUCAAUUAAAGUCAGUGAGUGGGAGCCAGGAAAAAAGAGUUGCUUCACCGAGGCAGAGUUUCAGUGUCGCAAGAUGAGAAGGUUCUACUACAUUGAAGAUAUCAAUAUGUAAUACAAUAAGCAUUGUUAAUUCCCUACCACUCUGUUUGUAACUCUGUAAUGUCUGUACUGAUCCUAUGCUAUUUUGUAAAAUGUUGUCGGUCUGUUAGUAUUUUCC
rnacentral:lncRNA from 1 species